GACGAACGCUGGCGGCGUGCUUAACACAUGCAAGUCGAACGAAGAGCGACGGAAGCUUGCUUCUCUCAAUCUUAGUGGCGAACGGGUGAGUAACGCGUAAUCAACCUGCCCUUCAGAGGGGGACAACAGUUGGAAACGACUGCUAAUACCGCAUACGAUCUAAUCUCGGCAUCGAGGAUGGAUGAAAGGUGGCCUCUACAUGUAAGCUAUCACUGAAGGAGGGGAUUGCGUCUGAUUAGCUAGUUGGAGGGGUAACGGCCCACCAAGGCGAGGAUCAGUAGCCGGUCGGAGAGGAUGAACGGCCACAUUGGGACGGAGACACGGCCCAGACUCCUACGGGAGGCAGCAGGGGGGAAUCGUCCGCAAGGGACGAAAGUCUGACGGAGCAACGCCGCGGGAGUGAUGACGGCCGUCGGGUGGGAAAGCUCGGUUAAUCGGGACGAAAGGCCUUCUUGCGAAUAGGGAGAAGGAUUGACGGUACCGGAAGAGAAAGCCACGGCUAACUACGUG
rnacentral:rRNA from 1 species